GAUGAACGCUGGCGGCGUGCCUAAUACAUGCAAGUCGAGCGAACAGACGAGGAUCUUGCUCCUUCGACGUUAGCGGCGGACGGGUGAGUAACACGUAGGUAACCUACCUAUAAGACUGGGAUAACUUCGGGAAACCGGAGCUAAUACCGGAUAAUAUUUCGAACCGCAUGGUUCGAUAGUGAAAGAUGGCUUUGCUAUCACUUAUAGAUGGACCUGCGCCGUAUUAGCUAGUUGGUAAGGUAACGGCUUACCAAGGCAACGAUACGUAGCCGACCUGAGAGGGUGAUCGGCCACACUGGAACUGAGACACGGUCCAGACUCCUACGGGAGGCAGCAGUAGGGAAUCUUCCGCAAUGGGCGAAAGCCUGACGGAGCAACGCCGCGUGAGUGAUGAAGGUCUUCGGAUCGUAAAACUCUGUUAUUAGGGAAGAACAAACGUGUAAGUAGCUGUGCACGUCUUGACGGUACCUAAUCAGAAAGCCACGGCUAACUACGUG
rnacentral:rRNA from 1 species